rnacentral:rRNA from 1 species
AGAGUUUGAUCCUGGCUCAGAAUGAACGCUGGCGGCGUGCUUAACACAUGCAAGUCGCACGAGAACGCUUCAGCUUGCUGAAGUAAGUAAAGUGGCGCACGGGUGAGUAACGCGUGGGUAAUCUACCCUUGAAUUGGGGAUAACCCGCCGAAAGGCGGGCUAAUACCGAAUGACAUCUUGAAAACUUAUGUUUUCGGGAUCAAAGGUGGCCUCUACAUGUAAGCUAUUGUUUGGGGAUGAGCCCGCGUACCAUUAGCUUGUUGGUAGGGUAAUGGCCUACCAAGGCUACGAUGGUUAGCUGGUCUGAGAGGAUGAUCAGCCACACUGGAACUGACACACGGUCCAGACUCCUACGGGAGGCAGCAGUGAGGAAUUUUGCGCAAUGGGGGAAACCCUGACGCAGCAACGCCGCGUGAGUGAUGAAGGCUUUCGGGUCGUAAAGCUCUGUCAAGUGGGAAGAACUCAUAUGGUGCUAAUACUGCCAUAUGUUGACGGUACCGCUGAAGGAAGCACCGGCUAACUCCGUGCCAGCAGCCGCGGUAAUACGGGGGGUGCGAGCGUUAUUCGGAAUUACUGGGCGUAAAGAGCGCGUAGGCGGUCUUUUAAGUCAGGUGUGAAAGCCCGGGGCUCAACCCCGGAAGUGCACUUGAAACUAGGAGACUUGAGUAUGGGAGAGGGAAGUGGAAUUCCUGGUGUAGC